GAUGAUACAGACAAUACUGCAGUCUCCAUGAUUUAUAGUUUAUAAGUGGGAACUUGCUUUUAGGUGAUUCAUGGAAAGAAGCACUCCAUGUGGUCACUUUUGUCGUGAUCUCUCCAAUUCUUAAAAUUCGCUAAUAAACGCUCAUUCUAGAUCAUCAUAUCUCAUCCUUCAUCCUGCUCUGGAUCCUUUUUGGAAGGACAAAAGGGUGCUGUAUGGGGACACAAUAAUGUCGAAUACAACGUUAAAAUACGUUGUCCUCUUAUCAGAACCAGGGGCGCAACUUUGUGGGGGCCGCAGGGGGGGGGUGACCCGAAAUUUUCUCUCAGUAGUGCCCGGUAUAUACAUUUUCGACCCCCCGGUCAGAAAUCUCAAGCUUCACCACUGAGCGAACACAUCUUGUUUGUGAAAUAUUGUGUUAAAUUUUUUAAGUAGAGAAUCGACAUUAAUAAUGCAAUUUAGGGGAUAUAUUGAUGUUGAUAUCUGAUGUAUUUAAUGCAAGGAACCUGACUCGUGUAGCCACAUAAAGUAUCAUUUUUCGAUCUUUAUAUAAAAAUUAUUAUCAUUCAA